UCUGAUACUGGUUUAGCUCCUCCCAGUCAAUGGGAUCUCGUUUCUGAUAAACAGAUGAUGCAAGAGGAGCAACCUUUGCAGGUUGCUAGAUGCACAAAGAUUAUUAGUCCAAACACUGAAGACGCCAAGUACGUCAUUAAUGUCAAACAGAUAGCCAAGUUUGUCGUUGGCCUUGGCGAUAAAGUGUCUCCCACUGACAUUGAAGAAGGCAUGCGCGUGGG